rnacentral:ncRNA from 2 species
CGCCCCACCUCGGGGUGCGCUGUGGCGCUGAGAUGACACCCGUUGAACCUGAACCGGCUAGAACCGGCGGAGGGAAGGUUACGGAGACGCUC